rnacentral:rRNA from 1 species
CGCAUCGCAGCUAUACAUGCAAGUCGAGGGGUAUGGGUUGCUUGCAACCCAGAGACCGGCGCACGGGUGCGUAACGCGUAUGCAACCUACCUUGAUCAGGGGGAUAGCCCGGAGAAAUCCGGAUUAACACCGCAUAACAUUGUGAUAUGGCAUCAUAUUAUAAUCAAAUAUUUAUAGGAUCGAGAUGGGCAUGCGUGACAUUAGUUAGUUGGUGAGGUAACGGCUCACCAAGACUGCGAUGUCUAGGGGAUCUGAGAGGAUGACCCCCCACACUGGUACUGAGACACGGACCAGACUCCUACGGGAGGCAGCAGUAAGGAAUAUUGGUCAAUGGGCGCAAGCCUGAACCAGCCAUGCCGCGUGCAGGAAGACGGCCCUACGGGUUGUAAACUGCUUUUGUACCGGAAUAAACCUGCUCUCGUGAGAGCAGCUGAACGUACGGUAAGAAUAAGGAUCGGCUAACUCCGUGCCAGCAGCCGCGGUAAUACGGAGGAUCCAAGCGUUAUCCGGAUUUAUUGGGUUUAAAGGGUGCGUAGGCGGCUUUUUAAGUCAGGGGUGAAAACUUGCGGCUCAACCGUAAGCUUGCCUUUGAUACUGAGGAGCUUGAAUACACUUGAGGUAGGCGGAAUGUGACAAGUAGCGGUGAAAUGCAUAGAUAUGUCACAGAACACCAAUUGCGAAGGCAGCUUACUAAAGUGAGAUUGACGCUGAGGCACGAAAGCGUGGGGAUCAAACAGGAUUAGAUACCCUGGUAGUCCACGCCCUAAACGAUGAAUACUCGAUGUUAGCGAUAUACAGUUAGCGUCUAAGCGAAAGCGUUAAGUAUUCCACCUGGGGAGUACGCCCGCAAGGGUGAAACUCAAAGGAAUUGACGGGGGCCCGCACAAGCGGAGGAGCAUGUGGUUUAAUUCGAUGAUACGCGAGGAACCUUACCCGGGCUUGAAAGUUACUGAAGUUCCCAGAGAUGGGAGCGUCCUUCGGGACAGGAAACUAGGUGCUGCAUGGCUGUCGUCAGCUCGUGCCGUGAGGUGUUGGGUUAAGUCCCGCAACGAGCGCAACCCCUGUGAAUAGUUGCCAGCACGUUAAGGUGGGGACUCUAUUCAGACUGCCUGUGCAAACAGUGAGGAAGGAGGGGACGACGUCAAGUCAUCAUGGCCCUA